UACGUAGGGGGCAAGCGUUGUCCGGAAUCAUUGGGCGUAAAGAGCGUGUAGGCGGCCAGAUAAGUCCGCUGUGAAAUCUCGAGGCUCAACUUCGAGCUGUCGGUGGAAACUGUCUGGCUAGAGUCCGGAAGAGGAAGAUGGAAUUCCCGGUGUAGCGGUGAAAUGCGCAGAUAUCGGGAAGAACACCCGUGGCGAAGGCGGUUCUCUGGGACGGUACUGACGCUGAGACGCGAAAGCCGUGGGGAGCAAACAGG
rnacentral:rRNA from 1 species